GUAGGGAAUCUUGCGCAAUGGGCGAAAGUCUGACGCAGCCAUGCCGCGUGAAUGAUGAAGGUCUUAGGAUUGUAAAAUUCUUUCACCGGGGACGAUAAUGACGGUACCCGGAGAAGAAGCUCCGGCUAACUUCGUGCCAGCAGCCGCGGUAAUACGGAGGGGGCUAGCGUUGCUCGGAAUUACUGGGCGUAAAGGGCGCGUAGGCGGAUAUUUAAGUCGGGGGUGAAAGCCCGGGGCUCAACCUCGGAAUAGCCUUCGAUACUGGAUAUCUUGAGUACGGGAGAGGUGUGUGGAACACCGAGUGUAGAGGUGAAAUUCGUAGAUAUUCGGAAGAACACCAGUGGCGAAGGCGACUCACUGGCCCAAUACUGACGCUGAGGCGCGAAAGCGUGGGGAGCAAACAGGAUUAGAUACCCUAGUAGUCC
rnacentral:rRNA from 1 species